rnacentral:rRNA from 1 species
CAGCAGCCGCGGGAACACGUAGGUGGCAAGCGUUGUCCGGAAUUAUUGGGCGUAAAGCGCGCGCAGGCGGAUCGGUCAGUCUGUCUUAAAAGUUCGGGGCUUAACCCCGUGAUGGGAUGGAAACUGCCAAUCUAGAGUAUCGGAGAGGAAAGUGGAAUUCCUAGUGUAGCGGUGAAAUGCGUAGAUAUUAGGAAGAACACCAGUGGCGAAGGCGACUUUCUGGACGAAAACUGACGCUGAGGCGCGAAAGCCAGGGGAGCGAACGGGAUUAGAGACCCCUGUAGUCCCUGUCUCUUAUACC